GACAGAGGUGCCAAGCGUUAGGCGGAAUCACUGGGCUUAAAGCGUGUGUAGGCGGACUUGUAAGUACCUUGUGAAAUCCCACGGCUCAACCGUGGAACUGCUUGGUAUACUGCUUGUCUUGAGCCACUUAGGGGCUACCGGAACAAAUGGUGGAGCGGUGAAAUGCGUAGAUAUCAUUUGGAACGCCAACGGUGAGAACAGCUCGCUGGGGGUGUGCUGACGCUGAGACACGAAAGCCAGGGGAGCAAACGGG
rnacentral:rRNA from 1 species